rnacentral:rRNA from 1 species
UGUAGACCCGAAACCGGGUGAUCUAUCCAUGUCCAGGUUGAAGUUCGCGUAAAAGUGAAUGGAGGACCGAACACACAUCCGUUGAAAAGGGUGGUGAUGAGGUGUGGAUAGGGGAGAAAUUCCAAUCGAACCCGGAGAUAGCUGGUUCUCCUCGAAAUAGUUUUAGGACUAGCCUUGUUUUAGUUUCAUGGAGGUAGAGCUCUGAAUUCUUAAGGGGGCGUCAAAGCUUACUAAGAGAUAUCAAACUGCGAAUGCCAUCGAAAUGAUGAACAGGAGUCAGACUGCACGAGAUAAGUUGGGUAGUCAAAAGGGAAAGAGCCCAGACCUACAGCUAAGGUCCCAAAGUAUGUGUUCAGUGGAAAAGGAUGUGAGAUUUCAGAGACAACUAGGAUGUUGGCUUAGAAGCAGCCACACAUUCAAAGAGUGCGUAAUAGCUCACUAGUCGAGAGGUCUUGCGCCGAAAAUGUCCGGGGCUAAAACACAACACCGAAGCUUAGGAAUGUAGCAAUACAUUGGUAGAGGAGCAUUUUUAUAGGCGUAGAAGCUGUACCGAUAAGGAGCAGUGGAGUAAUAAAAAGAGAGAAUGCCGGAAUGAGUAGCGAGAUGAAGGUGAGAAUCCUUCAGGCCGAAUAUCUAAGGUUUCCAGAGUAAAGCUGAUCUGCUCUGGGUAAGUCGGGGCCUAAGGCAAGGUCGAAAGACGUAGUCGAUGGACAACAGGUUUAGAUUCCUGUACCGCUUAUUAUCAGAAAUGUGGGGACACAGAGACGUAUCCAAACCCAGGAAUGCAAAGACUGGGGCAAGCCAAGUACUGGUAUGGCAGGAAAAUCCGCCAUGCAACAGGAAUAGGUGAUGCGGACCGAAAUCAAGUAGGGAAGUUGGAGAAGGAGCUGUCAAGAAAAGCCGCUAUUGUGUAAUAAGUGCCCGUACCGUAAACCGACACAGGUGGAUGAGGAGAGAAUCCUAAGGCCGGCGGGAGAAGCAUUGUUAAGGAACUCGGCAAAAUGACCCCGUAACUUCGGGAGAAGGGGUGCUGCAGAGAUGCAGCCGCAGAGAAAAGGCUCAAGCAACUGUUUAGCAAAAACACAGGUCUAUGCGAAACCGUAAGGUAAAGUAUAUGGGCUGACGCCUGCCCGGUGCUGGAAGGUUAAGAGGAGAGGUUAGAGCAAUCGAAGCUUUGAAUUGAAGCCCCAGUAAACGGCGGCCGUAACUAUAACGGUCCUAAGGUAGCGAAAUUCCUUGUCGGGUAAGUUCCGACCCGCACGAAAGGCGUAAUGAUUUGGGCACUGUCUCAACGAGAGACUCGGUGAAAUUUUAGUACCUGUGAAGAUGCAGGUUACCCGCGACAGGACGGAAAGACCCCAUGGAGCUUUACUGUAGUUUGAUAUUGAGUGUUUGUGUCACAUGUACAGGAUAGGUAGGAGCUGAAGAAUCCGGGACGCCAGUUUCGGAGGAGGCAACGGUGGGAUACUACCCUUGUGACAUGACCACUCUAACCCGCACCCCUCACCGGGGUGGGAGACAGUGUCAAGAUCGGAAGAGCGGUUCAGCAGGAAUGCCGAGACCG